rnacentral:lncRNA from 1 species
GUAUAGAUGCUCUGAAUGUGCAUGCCAAUGAGUUUAUAUUUCAAGAAUCUCUAUCCACUGGUGAAAUUGUUAAGAAAGUUGAAUCCCCCAUUGACAAGGUUCAAGCAUUCAGUAAAAUUCGAGUGAACUGUGGCAAUGACAAAAAAAAUCUGACUGUUUAUAUUGGGGAUUCAGUCGGCGACUUACUUUGCUUGCUUGAAGCAGAUGUUGGCAUUGUGCUUGGUACGAGCUCAAGUCUAAGGACGGUGGGGAAUCAUUUUGGUGUUUCUUUUGUUCCUCUGUUUCCAGGUGUUGUCCAGAAACAGAAGAUGUGCGCUGGGUUAGACUCAUCAAGUUGUUGGAAGGGACUAUCUGGUGUUCUCUAUUGAACUGCAGCAAUGACAAAAAAAAUCUGACUGUUUAUAUUGGGGAUUCAGUCGGUGACUUACUUUGCUUGCUUGAAGCAGAUGUUGGCAUUGUGCUUGGUACGAGCUCAAGUCUAAAGACAGUGGGGAAUCAUUUUGGUGUUUCUUUUGUUCCUCUGUUUGCAGGUG